CGGGGCGUGGCUCAGCCUGGUAGAGCGCUCGGUUUGGGACCGAGAGGUCGCGAGUUCACAUCUCUCCGCCCCGACCA
rnacentral:tRNA from 1 species